rnacentral:misc_RNA from 1 species
GAUGAAGAACGUAGUGAAAUGCGAUAAGUAAUGUGAAUUGCAGAAUUCAGUGAAUCAUCGAAUCUUUGAACGCACAUUGCGCCCCUUGGUAUUCCGAGGGGCAUGCCUGUUCGAGCGUCAUUAUAACCCCUCAAGCUCAGCUUGGUGUUGGGGCCUGCUGCACUGGCAGCCCUUAAAAUCAGUGGCGGCGCCAUCUGGCUCUAAGUGUAGUAAUUCUUCUCGCUAUGGAGUCCUGGUGGAUGCUUGCCAUCAACCCCCAAUUUUUCUAUGGUUGACCUCGGAUCAGGUAGGGAUACCCGCUGAACUUAAGCAUAUCAAUAAGCGGAGGA